rnacentral:rRNA from 1 species
UGGGGAAUAUUGCACAAUGGGCGAAAGCCUGAUGCAGCGACGCCGCGUGAGUGAAGAAGUAUCUCGGUAUGUAAAGCUCUAUCAGCAGGGAAGAAAAUGACGGUACCUGACUAAGAAGCCCCGGCUAACUACGUGCCAGCAGCCGCGGUAAUACGUAGGGGGCAAGCGUUAUCCGGAUUUACUGGGUGUAAAGGGAGCGCAGACGGCGAUGCAAGUCUGGAGUGAAAGCCCGGGGCUCAACCCCGGGACUGCUUUGGAAACUGUAUGGCUAGAGUGCUGGAGAGGCAAGCGGAAUUCCUAGUGUAGCGGUGAAAUGCGUAGAUAUUAGGAAGAACACCAGUGGCGAAGGCGGCUUGCUGGACAGUAACUGACGUUCAGGCUCGAAAGCGUGGGGAGCAAACAGG